rnacentral:lncRNA from 13 species
AUGAAAAACUACAGAUUGUGUGUGUCAAAGAAAGCGCGCCUGAGCAGUCAGUGUAACGCUUACUGUUCUUUUUUUAAAUGGUUUAUUUCACAUUUGUUUAUUAUCCAUUUCACCUGCUUUGGCAAUGUAAACAUGUUUCCCGUGUCAAUAAAGCCCAUAAAUCGACAUUUAAUUGAUACUGACCGGCACAGCCAAGAAGCAGGACCGAGUUUGGGAAAGCCAAAGUCUGUUGUUACCUACCUCAAUUUCAUGCAACAGCAGAAACCGACACAGACAAGCGAGAUGGAAUUCUCUUUACUGAAAACGUCCUUUGCUGUGUCAAGCCAAAACAGGGCGGACUAGUCUAUGACUAGCUAGGGUGUUAUGAAAACAUUGGUGGCACUGGUUGUUCGUAAUGAAGGCAUUUACAUUAAUUUGAAUAGUUGAUUGCUAUUUGGUAACUCAGAAGCUAUUUGAUAGCCUUACAUGUUGGCUACAGCGCUUGAGCAAAGGACGUAAUGUAUGCUUAGAAUGGCAGCCUCAUGCUAAACUUCAAGCCAACAUUGAUCAACUGUUAGGUUUUUAUUUAUUUAUUUCACCUUUAUUUAAUAACCAGGUAGGCCAGUUGAGAACAAGUUUUCAUUUACAACUGCAACCUGGCCAAGAUAAAAGGUUAUUCCAUCUCACUACCAAAACAAGAGCCUAAAAAUGGGCCUGGUUUAACCUACAUGUAUAAAGGUGCUCAAUGUUGACCUAUUUUUCAGACCAUGAGACAUCCAUGUUAUCAUCACAGGAAAAGAUAAACAGUUUAGUUUGAUAUACUUUAAAAGCUUACAAACGGGGUUGCAAAACUAUUUUAUAAUUUCUUGAAAAAAAGCUUUAAAAUGUUUGACUUUAAUCUCAAUUCUCAAAACACAACACAAAAACCUCAGAUGAUAUCAAAUAGGGUCUAAGCUACAACAUAGGCUAGACAAAUUUAUGGAGAGAAAAAAAUGGGUGUUUUUAGAUAAUUGACGUUUAAUAGGUAAAAAAAACCAAAAACAUUUAAAAAUAUUUAAGCUUUAAUAUGUUGUCAAUCUCAACCGUUCAUUUUUUCCAAUGAUGAAGACGUGGAUGUCUCACUGUAUGGUGGGGUAUGCAAAAUAGGUCAACUUUGAGCCCCUAUAUGAUCUUUGAGAACCUUUUAUCUAUCUUUUAUUUUGACAUUGAGGUCCAAAAAGUCACUUUUUGAGCACCUCUACCAGAGGAGGUUGGUGGUACCUUUUUAUUUGGGAGGACGGGCUCGUGUUAAUGGCUGGAGCGGAAUAGGUGGAAUGGUAUCAAAUACAUUAAACUGAAGUUUUCCAUGUAUUUCCCCUAUAUAGGCAACUAUUUUAUGCAGUUUUUUAUGCUGUUUUGAACUAGUGCAUUAUAGUGUUUGUUACUUGAGUACAUUUAGCUUGUGAUGUUUCAGACUGAGAAUUUAUAAUAGAAUUAGCUAAAAAUACAUUUCACAUAAACCGACAAAUGCCAUUGCGAUGUACAGAAGGCGAAACACCCCAUCCAUUCCUUCCUGUACAGAUGUGGAGGAGGCUCUGCACUCCAAUGGAGAGCUGAUCCCUUGUAAGAUCUAUGGCAGGACCUUCUACACUACAGUCAUGGGAAGACACAGAUUUGUGUACAGAUUCAUGUUGCUUUCUCUGAUGAGCCACAGCUGUCUCAUUGAUAUACACAUCCCCCCAGGCUUCAUAAUUACACCCUUCCCUCUGCAGCAGAGUAAAACAUUAUGUUUUGAUAUGCUUACCAAACACUGGUGAGGUUAAGUAGCCAUGUUUACAGUAGCUAAACAAAAAGGGAUGCGGGGAUGAAAUAAUGACCACUAUCUGUGUUUUGGUGCCAAUUUCCACAGCAGUUNNNNNNNNNNNNNNNNNNNNNNNNNNNNNNNNNNNNNNNNNNNNNNNNNNNAGCAGCAUGAAGACAGGCUCCCAGAGGCAGGGCCAUAAAAGGCCCCAGCUCACUCGACUGCCCCUCCCCUCUCCAACAGCCAUCAGCCCAGAACAGCAUGAAGACAGGCCCCCAGAGGCAGGGCCAUAAAAGGCCCCAGCUUACUCGACUGCCCCUCGCCCUCUCCAUCAGCCCAGAACAGCAUGAAGACAGGCCCCCAGAGGCAGGGCCAUAAAAGACCCAGCUCACUCCUCAGGGCUGGAGGGAAGCUAAAGUCACUUGUUCUAACAGCAGACUUAUCAGCUUGCGUGUGUUUGACCAAAUAUAAUUCUAUUUCUCUGUAAACUAAUUAACUACAGACUUUCAGCAAGCUUGUAGAGAAGGGCACUCAACAUGUACGGUAUUGACACAAAUGACUGAUGAUUAUUGACCAUAACCGGUUGUUUGGAAUGUGUUUUUUUUUAAAGCUUUUCUACCUGUGCAAUAUCAUGGAUUCAGAGCUAUCUUUCUAAUUGAACUGAGUGUUUUCUUUAAUGGAAGCUUCUCUAAUGUCAAAGCCCAUCUACUCUUUUUUUUNNNNNNNNNNNNNCCAUUCAAAUUAGUGGAUUCUGUCAUUUCAGCCACACCCGUUGCUGACAGGUGUAUAAAAUCGAGAAAUAAAAAAAAUUGGGAGUUUACAGAUUUUUAGAUAAUUGAUGUUUAAUAGGUUAAACAACAUUUUAAAAUAUUUAAGCUUUGAUAUGUUGUCCAUCUCAACUGUUAAUUUUUUCCAAUGAUGAAGACAUGGAUGUCUCAUUGUAUGGUGGGGUAUGCAAAAUAGGUCAACUUUGAGCCCCUAUAUGAUCUUUGAGAACCUUUUAUCUAUCUUUUAUCUAUUUUGACAUUGAGGUCCAAAAAGUCACUUUUUGAGCACUUCUACCAGAGGAGGUUGGUGGUACCUUUUUAUUUGGGAGGACGGGCUCGUGUUAAUGGCUGGAGCGGAAUAGGUGGAAUGGUAUCAAAUACAUCAAACUGAAGAUUUCCAUGUAUUUCCCCUAUAUAGGCAACUAUUUUAUGCAGUUUUUUUAUGCAGUUAUUUAUGCUAUCUCUACUGUAAAACAAGCUCACGGAAUGGGACCACAGAGUUCUAAAGUGCGUAGCAGGUAAACAUCGUCUGUCCUCGGUUGCAACACUCACUACCGGGUUCCAAACUGCCUCUGGAAGCAACGUCAGCACAAUAACUGUUCGUUGGGAGCUUCAUGAAAUGGGUUUCCAUGGCAGCCGCACACAAGCCUAAGAUCACCAUGAGCAAUGCCAAGCGUCGGCUGGAGUGGUGUAAAGCUCGCUGCCAUUGUACUCUGGAGCAGUGGAAACACAUUCUCUGGAAUGAUGAAUUACCAUCUGGCAGUCUGACGGAAGAAUCUGGGUUUGGCAGAUGCCAGGAGAACGCUACCUGCCCCAAUGCAUCGUGCCAACUAUAAAGUUUCAUGGAGGAGGAAUAAUGGUCUGGGGCUGUUUUUCAUGGUUCAGGCCCCUUAGUUCCAGUGAUGGGAAAUCUUAACACGACAGCAAACAAUGACGUUCUAGACGAUACAGUGCUUCCAACUUUGUGGCAACAGUUUGGGGAAGGCCCUUUCCUGUUUCAGCAUGACAACGCCCCCGUGCACAAAGCAAGGUCCAUACACAAAUGGUUUGUUGAGAUCGGUGUGGAAGAUCUUGACUGUCCUGCACAGAUCCCUGACGUCAACCGCAUCAAACACCUUUGGGAUGAAUUGUAACGCCGACUGUGAGCCAGGGCUAAUCGGCCAACAUCAGUGCACGACUUCAUUAAUGCUCUAGUGGCAGAGUCUCCGCAGCAAAGGGGAGACCCAACUCCAUAUUAAUGCCCAUGAUUUUGUUCGACGAGCAGGUGUCCACAUACUUUUGGUCAUAUUGUGUAUCAUUUCUGUUUCCAGAUUUAUUAUAUACCUUAAACCACUUAUGUAUUUCAGUCAAAACUUCUACCACCACCACUAGGGCUGUGAAAGUAAGUUGAAUAGUCUUUAUUUUACGUAUGUUUGUGUGGUUAUGAAACACAUCAUUGCUGUGUGUAUUAGCUAGAGUACUCAAAUGUGUAUUGGCCCAGCCCUUUGGGCACUGCAUCUUGCUCUAUUGUGUCAGAAGCAUAAUUAGAAACAGUAGCCUGACAUCGGUAGUGCUGGCCCGUAGCCUGACAUCGGUAGUGCUGGCCCGUAGCCUGACAUCGGUAGUGCUGGCCCGUAGCCUGACAUCGGUAGUGCUGGCCCGUAGCCUGACAUCGGUAGUGCUGGCCUGUAGCACUACCCUGGGCAUUAACAGUGCCUUGAUGCCAAUUCCAUACAUAAACCUAUAGUAUAAGUUAAAAAAACAAUGUAAAUACUGGUGUGCCAUAACUGAUAUGGAAUUUAUAUGGAACAGAUCAUAACCAUGAGACAGAGAUAAAGUAUCUAUCGUGUUGGAAAAUCCUAUGAUCUCAGAAUAUCAUAUGACCAAUUCAAGACUGUUUGACAACUGCAUGUACUAAUCUGCCGUUAAAUUAUCUCCCUAUGUUUGAAAUGAACUUUUUCAACCCAAUCUAUUUUGGAAACUGGAAAUGUAAUUCUAGUCUAAGCUGUAUGUACAUCGGACCUUCCAGAGCAGAGCUUUGCUCCUAGCCCUGUUCCAAAUCUGUUAUUUAGCUAAACUAGCUUGGUCCCAGAUUUGUCUUUAGCUCAACUAGUCACUAUUGCUUGUUGUGUAGACAGUA